rnacentral:rRNA from 1 species
AGAGUUUGAUCCUGGCUCAGGAUGAACGCUAGCGGGAGGCCUAACACAUGCAAGCCGAGCGGUAUUGUUUCUUCGGAAACGAGAGAGCGGCGCACGGGUGCGGAACACGUGUGCAACCUGCCUUUAUCUGGGGGAUAGCCUUUCGAAAGGAAGAUUAAUACCCCAUAAUAUUUUGAAUGGCAUCAUUUAAAAUUGAAAACUCCGGUGGAUAGAGAUGGGCACGCGCAAGAUUAGAUAGUUGGUAGGGUAACGGCCUACCAAGUCAGUGAUCUUUAGGGGGCCUGAGAGGGUGAUCCCCCACACUGGUACUGAGACACGGACCAGACUCCUACGGGAGGCAGCAGUGAGGAAUAUUGGACAAUGGGUGAGAGCCUGAUCCAGCCAUCCCGCGUGAAGGACGACGGCCCUAUGGGUUGUAAACUUCUUUUGUACAGGGAUAAACCUAUUUACGUGUAAAUAGCUGAAGGUACUGUACGAAUAAGCACCGGCUAACUCCGUGCCAGCAGCCGCGGUAAUACGGAGGGUGCAAGCGUUAUCCGGAUUUAUUGGGUUUAAAGGGUCCGUAGGCGGAUCCGUAAGUCAGUGGUGAAAUCUCAUAGCUUAACUAUGAAACUGCCAUUGAUACUGCGGGUCUUGAGUAAGGUAGAAGUAGCUGGAAUAAGUAGUGUAGCGGUGAAAUGCAUAGAUAUUACUUAGAACACCAAUUGCGAAGGCAGGUUACUAUGUCUUAACUGACGCUGAUGGACGAAAGCGUGGGGAGCGAACAGGAUUAGAUACCCUGGUAGUCCACGCCGUAGACGAUGCUAACUCGUUUUUGGGCUUUCGGGUUCAGAGACUAAGCGAAAGUGAUAAGUUAGCCACCUGGGGAGUACGAACGCAAGUUUGAAACUCAAAGGAAUUGACGG